rnacentral:lncRNA from 10 species
CGGGGGCAUCGUGACGCUGAGGUGGAUGGGAGACUGCACGAUUUGAGCAGGUUGUGUGAAAUCUGGAACUCCAUUACUUGUACCCCAAGGCAUCUUUUUUAUGCGGAUUUAAGCUGGAAAGCGCCACACCAAGCUGUUAACAGGAACUGCUUCCUGGCACUGAGAUUCCAGGGGCUGCUCGUUCCUUUCUCUGGCUCAUCUGUGUAAGGAAGACUUUCCUCCGUGAGCCUUUCCACCAAGCUCAGGCCUGAGGCUUAGGAGAAAUGUGCGAGAUCCCGACAGCCUCGGAGGGAGUGAGGGGGCUUCGAGACCCUCAGGGCCACCUUAGGGGCCUCUACCAGGGAAGGAGAAAUGAUCUUGUUUCACCGGCCAGGGAGCCCUUCAGAAAUGCAAAUGUAACCGUUCACCUCCCCCUAGACAUUCCCUUCAGGGUAAUUCCCUUCAGGGCAAUUUCUUCAACGGCUCCAAGACAGAUCUUUUCCUUGAGAGCUGACAGUCGAUUUGCUGACAGUUGAUUUCCAGACUGAAGCGUACCUGCCACGGAACUUUUACCUCCAUGGGGUGACCUUAGAACUUCUGCUCUGCAAACUGGAAGUGACCUUCAUCCUCCAGGAGGGUAUGUCGAAAGCAUUCCCGCUUGGCCACUUUUACAAGUUAUUUCUGCCUGGGAAGGCACCAACUCAAUUAUCCAGUAGAUAAGAUACGGGGCAACAGGGGAACGCCUGCCUUGCAUACUUGCUCACCCCCGACCUUAUAAAAGUGUCCAUGUUACUGCUCCAAAGGUGAAGCAGCACAUGUAAAGGCAGGACGCGUUGUGUCCCUUCCCCAAGCUACCUUUGGAAUACAUUCACUUUUCUUACACCAGACCUCGCGCUUGUUCAUUGGACUCUGCAUGCGAUGAGCAACUAACCUGCUUUUCAGUUAUGCUUUGGAGCCAUGUUGUUUAGCACUUAGAAAAUAGAGGUGGGUCUGGGCGCGGUGGCUCAUGCCUAUAAUCGCAGCAUUUUGGGAGGCCGAGGUGGGUGGACCACUUGAGGUCAGGAAUUCAAGACCAACCUGGCCAACUUGGUGAAACCCUGUCUCUACUAAAAAUAGAAAAAAUGAGCCCAGCAUGGUGGCACAUCCCUGUAAUCCCAGUUACUCGGGAGGCUGAGGCAUGAGAAUUGCUUGAAUCCGGGAGGUAGAGGUUGCAGUGAGCCGGCAUCACGCCACUGCACUCCAGCCUGGGCCACAGAGUGAGACUCCAUCUCAAAAACAAAAAAAAAAAAAAAAAAAGAAAAAGAAAAUAGAGGGUGUCUGAUAAAAAUGUACCUUCUCUAGUGUGCAGCACAGUAAAUCCAGCACCCCAGAGAUGUCCUGCCUGGCUCCCUGGAACCCGUCUGUGCACAUGAUGAGAUGUCACCUCUGUAAUUAGCUUAGGUUACAUGGCACAAUUAGCCUUAAAAUAGGGAAAUAUUCUGGGUGAGCCUCAUCUAAUCCCAUGAGACCUUAAAAGCAGAGAGCCUCACGCCUGUAAUCCCAGCACUUUGGGAAGCCAAGUGGGUGGAUCACUUAAGGCCAGGAGUUCAAGACAAACCUGACCAACGUGGUGAAACCCCAUCUCUACUGAAAAUACAAAAGUUAUCCGGGUGUGGUGGCAUGCACCUGUAAUCCCAGCUCCUUGGGAGGCUAAGGCAGAAGAAUCUCUUGAACCCGGGAGGCAGAGGUUGCAGUGAGCCUAGAUUCCACCACUGCACUCCAGCCUGGCCUGGACAACAGAGCAAGACUCUCUCAAAAAAAAUAAAAAUGAAAAUAAACCAAAGACAUCAAAGACCCAAACAAUACCAUGAGUAGUUUGAAUCAAAGAUCUGUAUCAAAUUCUGUACCACACACAGCUUGUAUCUUCUUUUUGCAUAUGAAACCUUUACCAU